UGAAGACACUGAAUGCUAAGACUCACUGAAAGUGCUGGAUUUGACAAAUGAAUGUUCAGGCCUUCAGGGAGCAGUUGGUGCUAUGGACCAAAAAAAGGAAAGGCGUUAGAGACACGACAUGAUCCUAUAUAUUAAGAGAGGCUGAUACAGGAGUUGCCAAACUGCUGCUGGUUCCAGACUGAUUCCAGAAC